rnacentral:lncRNA from 1 species
ACAGCUCCAUCCCUCAGUUUGUACCACCAUCUCUGCAUUAUUAUUGAUCGAACAAAUAUUUUAACAAACAUAACUUAAUUAAACAAAUUUCAUUAUUUACAUUUAGUAAAAACAUCAUUAUUUACAUAUUAAUUAUUUUUAUGUACUAUUAUGCAAUUAUAAUUAUGAUUGUAUGUACCAAUUUUGCAUAUAUAUAUAAGAUAAGAUUAGAGGGAGUAUAAGACUUACUAGAAGCAAGGAGAAUAACCAAAAUGAAGAAAAACUCAAAGUGUGCCUUGUUCAUCGUUACCACUUGCUACAAUCUUCACCUAGUUAGAGAGUUAUUGCUUUGCUUGCGAAUAAACUAAUUAAACUAAUAACUCACAUGGAGUUAUCAAUUUGUAGAUGUGGAGGAUGUAAAAAACUUGUUUGUUUAACUUGUGAAAACUUCGCGUUUAACUUUCUUUUGGAGUUAAUGUUCUUUGAUUAUCGCAUUAUUAACAAGAAAUGUAGUAGUAGUAUCUUGUUGAAAAUAUACUAUAAAAAAGAGCCUCUUUAUUUAUCUACUCUAUUAAUAAAUUGACUAGCAUCGCUAUAGAGAUUGAGGAUGUUAAAAAUGUAAUCCUUCCG